UACUAUGCUUAUGAGAACUACUCAUUUAUCACAUUUGAGUGUAGUUAAGUGGAGUACUUCAAAGCCGCAUUUGACUUCAGUUUCACUUCUCCACUAUAAGUUAUCAGUACUCAACAGAGUGAACAAUUUGAGAGGUGUGCAACUCUUGAUCUCCUUAUUGAUCUCUGUUUUCUCUGAUAUAAAUUAUGAGUUUUCAUUUUCACUCAACACCCUGCAGGAAAGAGAAAACAGAUUCAGACUAAAGCACGUGCCUGACAAUGUGUCUGCUGCAUUGCAUGAGGCAGCCUUGCUGCAGCCAACCAUAGUGGGUGCCCUUGUAGGUCCAAUUAAGAGGCUUAAUUGAAGAAUUCCAAGUUAGCAGACUGUCCUGGCACUCAGAGGAUAUUGUGCCUGGUAAUGAUAGUGUUGAAUUGGACAGAAAGAAUAUUCACAAAGCUUCAAGAAAGGCCUCCUCUGCUAAAAAUGCUCUCUGAUUAGCCAUUCACUGCUUCCUGAACUAUGAAGACAUCUUCUAGGAAUACUCAGGAUCUUCUGCUAUGUGGCUUUAAUUUAUUUUAAGAUUAAUUCCUCAUUACCUUCUUACACAAAGCCACCAUUAGCAUAUCAAGCACAGCUGUACAAAUUUUUAAAAGGCCAAAAGAUGUAUCUGCCAAUUCUAGGAGGAUAUAAACCUGAAGGCACAAAUCUGGGCUGGAGCACAUGGUUUCCCUUGUGAGAAGAAAAAGUCUCCUUCCUCUGAAUGGACACACCUUGCACACCAGGGCACAAGGUUUGUCUAGAAGAGCACAGCUGAACAUCAUAAAGUGCAGAACCACACACCUGGCAUCCUUGUCCCUACACAAGGUAUGUUGCUGUUAAAGUAUAAUUUGUUACUCUCCAAAGCACACUCACAAUUCCCUACUUGGGUCCCUUGUUGCAUGUUACUGCUCCUCAUUUAUGCAUUUGGAUGCUUUCUUAUAUUUUUCCUCAACCUCUACCACAUUCAGUUAGGCACUCAGCCUAUAUUUCAUGUAUACCUAUGUAGCAGGUCUUAUGACCAGAGUUGGGGAUGCACAGAAAUUGCAGAUUUCUUAUUCAUGACAUUACUUCUCAUCCCCACAACUCAAUAUGAUAAUUCCUUUCCCUAACCACCCCACUUCCCAAUGCACAUAGUAUUUUGUCUGUACUUUCCUUUGGGAAUUUACAUUUUCUACUCUUUCUAGUACUGUGCAAACAUAUGUUUUCUUUGCCAUUAAACUUAAUGGCAUGGACUUAAAAAUCUUGAUAUCUAGAACAGUGCCUAGCCCUGUAACUUGAGGAUAUAAAUUAAACUUAAUUGAAUUAUUCAUUACCUUCCUUGUAACUUUAACUGUCGCAUUAUGACUGUAACUCAAUCCGUGUAUUAUAUGUCAGCAAAGUUGAGCGCCUUUUCCGUGCAGUUACACUUUGAGUUACUUAAGGAUUACAUCCUUUUGCUAGAGUCCUCAAACAGCAUUUAGUGGCAUCUUUCAGACAUGUGGCGCUUGCAGAGCUCGAGAAAAGAUGGCAGAAUUAUAUGUCUUUUCCUUUUUCUUCUUUUUGGCAGCUCUUUACCUAAUGAUGUAGACUAUAUUUGAUACACUGUAGUUUUCUUAUUCUGCUAAAUUCCUCAUCAACACAUGACCUCGAUAGAUAUUGCUGUCAACAUCUUCAAUUUCUUCUUUCUAUUUAUCUUGACAAAUCCCUGGGUGCAGUAUUAAUUUUAUCUACCUUAGCAUGGAGGUGAUUAUUUUAGCUCAUUUUAAUGCUCCUUCUAUGUAGUUGCCCAUUAGUGAUCGCAAGAAGUUGAUUCUACAACCACUACUCCCCUCCUGCCUCACUGCAGAUACCAAAACUUUCAGUUCCUUGUAUAAAAUGGUAUUUGCGUAUAAUCUACACACAUCUUCCCAUAUACUUUAAGCCUUCUCUAGAUUAUUUAAAAUACCCAUUAUGAUGUAAAUGCUAUGUAAGUAGUUAUAC
rnacentral:lncRNA from 1 species